rnacentral:tRNA from 1 species
CAGGGAGACAACAAAAUGUUUAAUAUUAUUAUUUUGUCACCUUAGGUCGAUCGGUAUCUCACGUUCUUAAUUUGUUAAGAAUUUCAUUUCCUAAGUUUUUCUAGGUCACACCCAUUAUUUUUCCUGGGCCAUUAGCUCAGGUGGUUAGAGCGCACCCCUGAUAAGGGUGAGGUCCCUGGUUCAAGUCCAGGAUGGCCCAUAUCUCUAUGUUGGGGGUAUAGCUCAGUUGGUAGAGCGCCUGCUUUGCAAGCAGGAUGUCAGCGGUUCGAGUCCGCUUACCUCCACUGAUUACCACCUCUUCCAUAACUGGUAGAAAGGAAAUGUUUUGAGUUGUGAUUAUUAUUCUGAACGAAUCUAGCUUCCUAAUGAAAUCAUUAAGAUGCUGGACUCAUUGAAUUAAUUUCAUUGUUUUCAGAGAACCUUGACAACUGCAUAGAUUUUUUUAAAGACAAUAAGCAUCUUUGAUGAUGCAGAUUUAUUAUUUGUGCGAAUGCAUUAAUAACAAUUCUAUUAAGCUGAUGCUUCAAUUUUUGAAGUUAUU